rnacentral:rRNA from 1 species
UACGGAGGAUGCAAGCGUUAUCCGGAAUGAUUGGGCGUAAAGCGUCCGCAGGUGGCUAUGUAAGUCUGCUGUUAAAGAGUGAGGCUCAACCUCAUAAGAGCAGUGGAAACUACAUGGCUAGAGUGCGUUCGGGGCAGAGGGAAUUCCUGGUGUAGCGGUGAAAUGCGUAGAGAUCAGGAAGAAUACCGGUGGCGAAGGCGGAUCUCUGGGCCUGUUCUGACGCUGAGGCGCGAAAGCUAGGGGAGCGAACAGG